rnacentral:rRNA from 1 species
CAAGUCGAACGGUAACAGGAAACAGCUUGCUGUUUCGCUGACGAGUGGCGGACGGGUGAGUAAUGUCUGGGAAACUGCCUGAUGGAGGGGGAUAACUACUGGAAACGGUAGCUAAUACCGCAUAACGUCGCAAGACCAAAGAGGGGGACCUUCGGCCUCUUGCCAUCAGAUGUGCCCAGAUGGGAUUAGCUAGUAGGUGGGUAACGGCUCACCUAGGCGACGAUCCCUAGCUGGUCUGAGAGGAUGACCAGCCAGGGAUCGUCGCCUUGGUGA